rnacentral:lncRNA from 1 species
GCAUAGAUAGCUCUGUCACCGUAGAAUCAGCCGAUCUCGCAGCAUCUUCCGUUGGCAUCAACAGCACUGCGGCGAGGACGGUUGAUUACCUAUCCAAGUCUCGGUCGAGAAGGAUUUCUGAAUCCUUAUUGGUCGAGGUCAUCUCAUCAGCCGUCUUGGGAAAGUGAGGUGUUACGAGUUACUACAUUCGGCACAUUGGAAGCCGAAUUGGAUAUUGAACUUUGCUAAGUUAGCAGCCUUGUCUUCAGGCUCUAGAACACGAAUGCCGAGACGUGUUCCUUCCUUGGCCACAAUCGCAAGAUCAAGAAGUCAGUAGCGCACCCAACGCAACAUCAACAAAUUUACUCCUUGGCCGAGCUCGGCCGACGAGUUGGCACACCCCACAUUCAUCGAAGGAUGUAAUUAGCUUAUAGAUUACUCGGCCUGCGCCACGUAGGUUUGGUAGUUUUUAGGGUCAACAUUUUGGCACGCCCAGUGGGACACAGUGCUAAAACUACGAAGUUCACAUGAUCUAUCUCGAUCAGGCUUCAUGGGACGAGUGUUAUCGCCUAUUAAAGAAGCAAAAACAACUCUUCGAGAAAUUGGGAAGAAUUUCUGAAAGGCAAGAGGCCGGGGCGCAAAUUUCCGCUCCGGCCACAACUAAUAUUCGGCCUAAGAAAAUUGUUAAUUUGGCCGAAGAACUAAGGCCACCUAUUUUUUCGGUAGAGACUAAAAGUGUGGUAGGCCUAGAGGAAAAUGUUCAAGUUUCUAAGCCACAAUUUGACUCAGAAAAUGAUUCGUCAGAGGAGUGCUCCAAUGAUGAACAAGACCAAUACAAGACUUCAAACCAUAAAAUCACAUCGAUUGAUAUGGUAAUUGAAGACAUAGGCCUAGCCGAAAAAAUCACGCCAAUAGAUAUGAUUAUUGGUGAUAAAGCCAAUAUGGGGAAAUCCUGUUCAGCUAAGUUGUUCGAGUUAAAAGCUGAAAUUGGCAAAAUUAUUAUGCCUGGAGGGCAUAAUAAUUGUUUAACACAUUCAGCGACCAAUAAAAAAUAUUCCUUCAAGCCGAACAUAUUUGGAGAUGAUCUUUUAUUCAGCUUUGGAAAAUCUCAAAGAGAAUAUUUUGAUGUAAAAAGAUCUCGGCUCGAAAUAAAACAUCGUUGGCCCCCUCCACUUUAUAGUUCGGCCACUUUUGUUUUCUUUUGUUAAAUAAAUAACUUAUUUUCUUAACCAUUCGGCUGCUUGGGCCGAUACUUAAGAAAAUAGGGGGCAGACAAGCAGAGAUUUGAUUGCAUUAAUUGCAUUACAAAAAAAAAAAAAAAACAAAACCAUUCGGCGUUAUAAGCCAAUGCCAGACACACCGCCAUUUAUUGAGUGCAUCGUGCUUUCGAUGGUGCCAUGCAAAUGAAAAUUUAUGGGUGCCAUACAAAUAUCAGAGCAUAUGGUUGAAGUCGGCAUAAAUUAAUUUGGUGGUUUGCAUCACCCAAGGCAGUGGGAGGAGGGCCAACAAUAUAGGGGAUUUUUCUUGCUAAAGCAUGUUUGUCUAGAAACAGCCGACUGUUAUGUGUGCAACAGCUAAGGAUAAAAUACUCGGCCUCCUAAUUUUUCGACUAGUCCUGAUUACUAAGUCAGCAAUUCAUGUCCUCGGCCAUAGCUGUCCUCGACCACAUGUUUCUUCGACUUUAGCUUUGGUACUCAAGUAAAAAAGGAAUGUGAUAGACAUGUGUGGCUGACAACAUCAUUUCAAGCCUUGGUUUUAACAAAGCCAUUUGUUGGCAUUUGUUGGAAAUUUUAUAGUCCUGGCCGACAUAUCUUUUCAUGGGAUUAAUAUACCUAUACAUAUAUGCAUAUAUAUAUAUGUAUAUAUAUGUGUAUGUCUUGUCACAUUAGGAUGUCACUAAUAUGUGUGUGUCUAUAUAUAUAUAUAUAUAUAUAUAUAUAUUAUUUUGUAGUGCAGUGGAUAGUUGAGGAGAAAAGCAGGAAUAAAGAGUGAAGGUGAUUCACGGAUUCGGUCAAAGAAUAUGGUUGUGGCCAUGGGGUGCUAUUUUUCAGCAAAUUAUUUAUUCAGCCGAGAUGACUGAUUUAGCAGAGAUGAAGUCGAGCAUUUUAUGGUGUUUUCACACUGGCUCGGCUGUUAGUCCGCUGAGUAGCGUAUAAAAAAAAAAGAAUGGUUUUUCGACAAUUGUUCUUCAUUGAUAAGUUGGUGUAUAGUCUUUCGGCUGGUGUAUUCGGCCAGUUAUUCGGCCAAAAAGACAGGAAAGGUAACAUCUUUGAUAGCUGACAGGCCGAGCUGCCAAGAGUGGUUUGCCUCGGCCCCUAUUUUUCUCGACUCUCCAAAAGUUUUUUCACCUCGGCAGUCGAGAACUACGGUAGGUUUUUUAUUGGCUGUGAACAAUUAAUUUCCUUAACCUUCGGCUUACAGGCUGAAGCUCAAGGAAACUAGGGGGCAAUGUUUGGACCCAAAUUUACACCAUCGGCCUGUGAAAUCAAGGCCGUUGAGUAAAUAUAGCUCCCGAUUGUUGGAUCAAAAAAAUAAAGGUCAUUAUUAAAAGAUAAUGAUUUUUAAAGUUAUAGUUUUUAUCAUAAUUAUCUUUUAAUGAUUUAUCUCAACAUCUUCUUAUGAAAGAGGGAAAAUGUAUCCCCAAGCUGGAAACAAGCGGCACAAUCCAAAAUGAUUUGGAUGUUUGGCGUGUGGAUGUGGUUGGGAUUGGUUUUGGUCAACAGAUAUGCAUGCAUGUGAUAAGGGUGAAGUAAAAAUAGGUGAUGUGUUUUGAAAAUGAGUCUACACGUGUUGGUGAUAAGAUGGCAACAACUGCCUUGCUGACAAUUAACAAUGGGUAUUUUAUGCUAAAUCAUUUAGCAUAUUGGUAUAUGCUUUUGUAUGGUGGGCCAGCAUAUGUUUUCUUUAUGGAGCCAGAUUCAUUUAACAUGGAUAUUUGGAACAAUAAGAAGUUUAAGUAGGCGUAGGCUUUUGAGAGUUGAGUUUCAGUUGGUUUCUACAAAAUCAUCUAGGCCACGUCGAACGGGAUUGUGCAUAUUUGAAAGAGAAUAUUCCUAUUAUUUUGCAACUUACGAAGACAAUCUUAGGCUACUGGUGAAUUAUAAAUACAGAGGCAGUUGAAGCAAGUAAACCCCCUCCAAUUCAACACACAACUGCCAUGCGCAAACUCUCUCAACAACUUUGAGAUUUUUAUUUUUUCUUUUCGCUGACACAUCUUCCGUUGGCAUCAACAGCACUGUGAAAGCAACCGGUGAUAUCUUAAGUCGGCAUAGAUAGCUUUGUCACCAUAGAAUCAGCCGAUCUCGCAACAUCUUCCGUUGGCAUCAACAGCACUGCGGCGAGGACGGUUGAUUACCUAUCUAAGUCUCGGUCGAGAAGGAUUUUUGAAUCCUUAUUAGUCGAGGUCAUCUUAUCAGCCUUUUCGACGAAGUGAGGUGUUACGAGUUACUACAUUCGGCACAUUGGAAGCCGAAUUGGAUAUUGAACUUCGCUAAGUUAGCAGCCUUGUCUUUAGGCUCUAGAACCCGAAGGCCGAGACAUGUUCCUUCCUCGGCCACAAUCGCAAGAUCAAGAAGUCAGCAGCGCACCCAAUGCAAUAUCAACAAAUUUUACUCCUCGACCGAGCUCGGUCGACAAGUUGGCACGCCCCACAUUCACCGAAGGACGUAGUUAGCUUAUAGAUUACUCGGCCUGUGCGCCACGUAGGUUUGAUAGUUUUUAGGGUCAACAAAAGGGUAAAUAAAUAAUAUCAAGAUUGAUUUUUUAAUGUAAAAAUUUGAUUUUGAAUUAAAAUGAACAGUAGCAUGAGUUUUUUGUUAAAUUUUCUUAAAAAUUAUUAGUUUGUUAUUAAUUAAUUAAUUUUCUAUUCCAGUUGGCAAAGAAGUGGGAUAUAUUCCUGCCACGUCAUCAUUUAACAGCUAGAUUUAUAGUAAAUUUAAUGGAGGUUUGACAUUGCAACGAAUUUAUAAGUUGAGGUAUGAUAUUGUAAUGUUUAAAAUAUAAGGUAUGAGAUUGUGGUUCAAUUCAUAAUUAAGAUAAUUUUGUAUAAUUUACCAUAUAUAUUUUUAUAUCACUGUUGGGUGGGGAUGUGAAAUUUUUCGGCAAAAGGAAAAAAAUUGUAGCACCAAUGACGGUGGUACUGACGUCGGUGGCAUGUGAAUCAUGUGCAAUUAGCCCACAAUGUGGCUAAUCCAAAUAGAAUGAGAUAAGGUUGAUAUUUUUUUCUUAAACUUGGUAUUUUCCCUUACAACUCAUAUGAAAACUGUUAUUUAAUCUGAAUUUGUCUUAAAUUUUUUUUAUUUGCUCUCUUUUCUUUCUUAAAGUUAUUUGUUAUCUUUUUCUUCUUGAAAUGUGACAUUUUUUUAACGAAGACAAGACAAUUGAGGGAAAAUGGCCAUGUA